GUACUCACCUGGCAGGGGAGAUACAAUGAUAAUGAAGGUGAUUUUCCUAGGGUGAGGUUCAACCAUUGCACUCCAGGUGUGCUGACCCCUGCGAUUUCCCCAAAUGUGGGAAACUCGACUGUAUGAUUUGUCAUGGUGGGGGGCUGUGCUUGUACUCUCCCCUG